rnacentral:rRNA from 1 species
CAGCAGCCACGGGAAGACAGAGGAUGCAAGCGUUAUCCGGAAUUAUUGGGCGUAGAGGGCUCGCAGGCGGUUUCUUAAGUCUGAUGUGAAAGCCCCCGGCUCAACCGGGGAGGGUCAUUGGAAACUGGGAAACUUGAGUGCAGAAGAGGAGAGUGGAAUUCCACGUGUAGCGGUGAAAUGCGUAGAGAUGUGGAGGAACACCAGUGGCGAAGGCGACUCUCUGGUCUGUAACUGACGCUGAGGAGCGAAAGCGUGGGGAGCGAACAGGAUUAGAUACCCCCGUAGUCCCUGUCUCUUAUCC